UACGUAGGGUGCAAGCGUUGUCCGGAAUUAUUGGGCGUAAAGAGCUCGUAGGUGGCCUGUCGCGUCGGCUGUGAAAACUCGGGGCUCAACUCCGAGCUUGCAGUCGAUACGGGCAGGCUAGAGUUCGGCAGGGGAGACUGGAAUUCCUGGUGUAGCGGUGAAAUGCGCAGAUAUCAGGAGGAACACCGGUGGCGAAGGCGGGUCUCUGGGCCGAUACUGACGCUGAGGAGCGAAAGCGUGGGGAGCAAACGGG
rnacentral:rRNA from 1 species